AUGGACCCGAUGCAGCCCACCUUUAAAGUCAUUCGGCGCCAGACUGUUCGCAACGACUGUGUGGACGCAUGUGAGCAAAUGAAGGAUCAGCUGCGCAUUGAGUUCGAGUCUCUUGAUUCCCGUGUUUGUUUGACCUCGGACAUGUGGACCUCUGUACAAGAACUAGGCUAUAUGUGUGUUACCGCUCACUACAUUGAUGGCAAUUUCAACCUGAAGAAGAAGGUCAUAUCCUUCAAAAAAGUCAAGUAUCCGCAUACAAGUGCGGCCAUUGAAGAGACUUUGUGCAAGUGUUUGAAUGAAUGGGGCAUCAAAAGGAAAUUGUUUACUUUGACCUUGGACAAUGCAGCAAACAAUAAACCAGCAGUUGACUCAUUUGUGCAACAUCAAGACCAUGGCAUGUUGUUUGGUGGUGUGGAUUUUCAUGUAAGGUGUUCGGCACACAUCCUUAAUAUCUUAGUUCAAGAUGGAACAAGAUAUGUGCACAAGACCAUAGAAAAAAUCCGUGAACUUUUAAGGCAUAUCGCUUCUUCGCCAUCAAGAAUUCAAUCCUUCAAUGCGAUUGCCACAAAUUUGGAUCUUCCUGAAAAGGCUGGUGGCAUAAAUCUUGAUAUUCCAAACCGUUGGAACUCUACAUAUCUAAUGAUUGGAGAAGCUCUGGAAUACAAGGGAGCCCUCAAUAAUUAUGCAAGUGGAAAUGGUGAAAUAGCACCGAACGAUGUGGAGUGGACUAAUGCUGAAGUAAUGUGCGCAUUUCUAAAAGCUUUUGAAGAAGCGACAAAGUUAGUAUCAGCCGAUAGAACACCAACAUCCCAUCUUUUUUUGCACAUGGUGUUGUGCAUCCGCCAAGUGCUAAGGGACCCUUAG
rnacentral:rRNA from 1 species